rnacentral:rRNA from 1 species
CUGAGUACGGCGGAACACGUGAAAUUCCGUCGGAAUCCGGGAGGACCAUCUCCCAAGGCUAAAUACUCCCUAGUGACCGAUAGUGAACCAGUACCGUGAGGGAAAGGUGAAAAGCACCCCGGAAGGGGAGUGAAACAGUUCCUGAAACCGUGUGCCUACAAGUAGUUAGAGCCCGUUAAUGGGUGAUAGCGUGCCUUUUGUAGAAUGAACCGGCGAGUUACGAUUUGUUGCAAGGUUAAGCGGAAAAAGCGGAGCCGUAGCGAAAGCGAGUCUGAAUAGGGCGCAUAAGUAACAGGUCGUAGACCCGAAACCAGGUGAUCUACCCAUGUCCAGGAUGAAGGUAAGGUAAUACUUACUGGAGGUCCGAACCCACGCACGUUGAAAAGUGCGGGGAUGAGGUGUGGGUAGCGGAGAAAUUCCAAUCGAACUUGGAGAUAGCUGGUUCUCUCCGAAAUAGCUUUAGGGCUAGCCUCGAGGUAAAGAGUCAUGGAGGUAGAGCACUGUUUGGACUAGGGGCCCUUCUCGGGUUACCGAAUUCAGAUAAACUCCGAAUGCCAUGUACUUAUACUCGGGAGUCAGACUGCGAGUGAUAAGAUCCGUAGUCGAAAGGGAAACAGCCCAGACCACCAGUUAAGGUCCCCAAAUAUAUGUUAAGUGGAAAAGGAUGUGGGGUUGCUUAGACAACCAGGAUGUUGGCUUAGAAGCAGCCACCAUUGAAAGAGUGCGUAAUAGCUCACUGGUCGAGUGACCCCGCGCCGAAAAUGUACCGGGGCUAAACAUAUUACCGAAACUGUGGAUGAACCUCUUUAGAGGUUCGUGGUAGGAGAGCGUUCUAAGGGCGGUGAAGUCAGACCGGAAGGACUGGUGGAGCGCUUAGAAGUGAGAAUGCCGGUAUGAGUAGCGAAAGAAGGGUGAGAAUCCCUUCCACCGAAUAUCUAAGGUUUCCUGAGGAAGGCUCGUCCGCUCAGGGUUAGUCGGGACCUAAGCCGAGGCCGAUAGGCGUAGGCGAUGGACAACAGGUAGAGAUUCCUGUACCAGUGCUAAUUGUUUAACCGAUGGGGUGACACAGAAGGAUAGGGAAUCGCACGAAUGGAAAUGUGCGUCCAAGCAGUGAGUGUGAGAAGUAGGCAAAUCCGCUUCUCGCGAAGCAUGAGCUGUGAUGGGGAAGGAAAUUAAGUACGGAAGUUCCUGAUUUCACGCUGUCAAGAAAAGCCUCUAGGAAGAGUAGUACUGCCCGUACCGCAAACCGACACAGGUAGAUGAGGAGAGAAUCCUAAGGUGAGCGAGAGAACUCUCGUUAAGGAACUCGGCAAAAUGACCCCGUAACUUCGGGAGAAGGGGUGCUCUAUUAGGGUGCAAGCCCGAGAGAGCCGCAGUGAAUAGGCCCAGGCGACUGUUUAGCAAAAACACAGGUCUCUGCAAAACCGUAAGGUGACGUAUAGGGGCUGACGCCUGCCCGGUGCUGGAAGGUUAAGAGGAGUGCUUAGCUUCGGCGAAGGUACGAAUUGAAGCCCCAGUAAACGGCGGCCGUAACUAUAACGGUCCUAAGGUAGCGAAAUUCCUUGUCGGGUAAGUUCCGACCCGCACGAAAGGCGCAACGAUCUGGGCACUGUCUCAACGAGAGACUCGGUGAAAUUAUAGUACCUGUGAAGAUGC